rnacentral:misc_RNA from 1 species
AACCAUAGAAACCUGCGGAGUACCUGCGGAGGGAUCAUUAUAGUAUAUGGAAUCUCCAUUCUAUAAACCCACUCUGCGUAUCUUGUAACUGUUGCUUCCAUGGGACUUGGUUCCGCCACACCGGCUUCACGGCUGGUGAGCGCCCAUGGAAGGAGAAACAAAACUCUUCUUUGAAAUGUAGUCAGUCUGAACAAGUUAUUAUAAACGUUAAAACUUUUAGCAACGGAUCUCAGAUCGGAA